rnacentral:rRNA from 1 species
GAUGAACGCUGGCGGCGUGCCUAAUACAUGCAAGUCGAGCGAACAGAUAAGGAGCUUGCUCCUUUGACGUUAGCGGCGGACGGGUGAGUAACACGUGGGUAACCUACCUAUAAGACUGGAAUAACUCCGGGAAACCGGGGCUAAUGCCGGAUAACAUUUAGAACCGCAUGGUUCUAAAGUGAAAGAUGGUUUUGCUAUCACUUAUAGAUGGACCCGCGCCGUAUUAGCUAGUUGGUAAGGUAACGGCUUACCAAGGCAACGAUACGUAGCCGACCUGAGAGGGUGGUCGGCCACACUGGAACUGAGAAACGGUCCAGACUCCUACGGGAGGCAGCAGUAGGGAAUCUUCCGCAAUGGGCGAAAGCCUGACGGAGCAACGCCGCGUGAGUGAUGAAGGUCUUCGGAUCGUAAAACUCUGUUAUUAGGGAAGAACAAAUGUGUAAGUAACUGUGCACGUCUUGACGGUACCUAAUCAGAAAGCCACGGCUAACUACGUG